GACGAACGCUGGCGGCGUGCUUAACACAUGCAAGUCGAACGGAAAGGCCCUGCUUGCCGGGUACUCGAGUGGCGACCGGGUGCGUAACACGUGGGUGCUCUGCCCUGCACUUCGGGAUAAGCUUGGUAAACUGGGUCUAAUACCGGCUAGGACCGCCCUUUAGUGUGUGUGGUGGAUAGUUUUUUCGGUGUAGUAUGAGCUCGCGGCCUAUCGGCUUGUUGGGGGGGUAAUGGGCUACCAAGGCGGCGACGGGUAGCCGGCCUGAGGGGGUGUACGGCCACAUUGGGACUGAGAUACGGCCCAGGCGCCGACGGGGGGCAGAAGGGGGGAAUAGUGCACAAGGGGAGCAAGCCUGAUGCAGCGACGCCGCGUGGGGGAUGAAGGCCUUCGGGUUGUAAAAGGCGUUCGCUAGGGACGAAGCUUUUUGUGACGGUACCUAGAUAAGAAGCACCGGCUAACUACGUG
rnacentral:rRNA from 1 species